AUUACUAUCAAUUGCAGUGACAAGAAUUUCAUCAACGAAUCUUUGUAUAUUCCUGUCAGAAGAGCCACCAUCAGCCACCGCCUCCCUCGCCGCAUGUUUCAGCUCCAACGCAUUUUUCUUAAACACUUCAGACCUUUCUCCUCCAACAAUUUCUUCAAUGGCUCUUUCAACUUCAUCACUUUCAACAAACCCAUCAUUGUCCUGUUUCAACCGGAUCCCCAUACGAAAAACAUCAGAAACAAGUGUUGCAUUUGUUGGUUGAUCAGUCCAUUGUGGAUAACCAAUCAUAGGUACUCCUGCAGUUAUAGCUUCCAAUGUAGAAUUCCAUCCACAGUGUGUUAAGAAACACGCUAUUGCAGGAUGAACCAAAACCUUAGUUUGUGGACACCAUGUAACAACCAAUCCUUUCUCUUUUGUUUCUUCUAAGAAUUUUUCAGACAGCUGAACUUUUUCAGCCCCAAUAUCAUUACUCUUCAUCACCCAGAGAAAAUAUUUGUUACUGUUUUUCAAUGCACUUGCUAUGCUUUGCAUUUGUUUUUCUGAUAAAAAAAUGAGACUUCCGAAUGAAAUAUAUAUAACUGAAGAUGGUAGCUUUUGGUUAAGCCAUUCCAUGCAAGAAUCUUGGGGAGUCCACAUUUCAAUUCCAACGUCUUGUUUUUGAUCUUGACCUAGUAAUGAAGGUGGAACUAAUGGGCCUACAGGUGUAAUUGGGAAAAUCUCAGCCAUUGAAUCAAUGACAUCUUUUUCCAAUUCGUAGAAAGAAUUUGCUAAUACCCAUUUCAGUUUCUUCAUGUCUUGGAACAUUUCAGCUAAAACAUCGGACAUGGUUUUUAUAGGAUUUGAUGGAAGAAUAAAAGAUGGAAGGUCUUGUGGUUUCAGCAAUGGAAGACCGGGUAAUUCCACGUCGAUUUCGGGGUUUUCUAGGGUUGGAAACUGGUUGAGUUCGUUGUAGAAACGAUAGUAUAUGGAGUAAAGGGUACAAGGUUGAAUCCAAAGACAAGCACAUGGGAUAUUCAAUUCAUAAGCCACGUUUGCUACCCAAGGAACAAAAGGGUUAUUGAUAAUGCAAGCUAAUUUUUUGGAAGGGUUGUUGAUGAAAUUGUUAUUGAUGAGAUUUGUGAGGCUAAUGGGACCGAAUUUGGCUAUGAGUUCCAUGUAUUCAUCAGGGCUUUUAUGGCCUUGAGAUAUGUCGAAGCCGUCGGAGAAAAACAGGACGUUGAUUCCAUUGGUGGAGUAAGAGGUUGGGACGGUGUCUGUGUCGGUGGUGGUUGAUUUGAAGACACGGUGGUAAACUAAUUCAGUGGUGGCAAGUGUGACAUUAAGGCCUUUGGUUAAUAGGGAUUUGCCUAGUCUAAGUAAAGGGUUUAUGUGACCUUGAGCUGAAAACGCAACCAAUAGGACAUGAAUUUCUGGUUUGAUUUCUGUGUCUUCUGAAGACAUGGUUGGUUGAAGAAUUGUUUGAAUUAUGAAAAGUGAAGGAAGUGAAUUUGGAUCAGAUUAAUGUUUGAUUUUGUGUGGUUUAGUUUUUCUUUUAUAAAGUGGUAUAAACUAGGAUAGGAGGGAAUCCUUGGAGCCUUGUAACAUACAGACAGAUAGACACGGUCCAGUGAUUCGUAUGGGAUUACGUUGGCAUUUGGCAAGGAUGAUUUUGGACACUAAUGAAUUACUUGCUCAAUGCU
rnacentral:lncRNA from 1 species